rnacentral:rRNA from 1 species
UACGUAGGGGGCAAGCGUUGUCCGGAUUUAUUGGGCGUAAAGAGCGUGUAGGCGGCCAGGUAGGACAGCUGUGAAAACUCGAGGCUUAACCUCGAGAUGUCGGCUGAAACCAUCUGGCUAGAGUCCGGAAGAGGAGAGUGGAAUUCCUGGUGUAGCGGUGAAAUGCGCAGAUAUCAGGAGGAACACCGAUGGCGAAGGCAGCUCGCUGGGACGGUACUGACGCUGAGGCGCGCAAGCGUGGGGAGCGAACAGG